UUAUCAAAAACAUCGCCUCUUGCACCAUAAGAGGUCCAGCCUGCCCCAGUGAUUUUAUUUAACGGCCCGCGGGUAUUCUACCCGUGCAAAGGUAGCGUAAUCACUUGUUUUCUAAAUAAAGACCAGUAUGAAAGGCAUCACGAAGACCUGACUNGUCUCCUUUCUCCAAUCAGUGAACCUAAUCUCCCCGUGAAGAAGCGGGGAUCCCCCUAUAAGACGAGAAGACCCCGUGGAGCUUAAAACAUCAUAACAACUGCCCCGCCUUAAACUACCCCGGUACUUACCCAAACAGCACCCCUGAUUAUGUGUUUUCGGUUGGGGUGACCGCGGAGAAAAUCUCAUCCUCCACGAUGAAAGGGACUUCCCCCUAAACACCAAGUUACAACUUUAUGCAUCAAAAAAUUGACAUUCAUUGACCCAAUAAAUUGAUUAACGAACCAAGUUACCCCAGGGAUAACAGCACAAUCCACUUCAAGAGCCCCUAUCGACAAGUGGGCUUAUGACCUCGAUGUUGGAUCGGGUUAUCCUAGUGGUGCAGCCG
rnacentral:rRNA from 1 species